rnacentral:rRNA from 1 species
GAGUUGAUCCUGGCUCACAACGAACGCUGGCGGCAGGCCUAACACAUGCAAGUCGAGCGAUCCUUCGGGAUAGCGGCGGACGGGUGAGUAACGCGUGGGAACGUGCCCGAUGGUGCGGGAUAGCCUCUGGAAACGGAGAUUAAUACCGCAUGUACCCUAUGGGGGAAAGAUUCAUCGCCAUCGGAUCGGCCCGCGUUGGAUUAGGUAGUUGGUGGGGUAACGGCCUACCAAGCCGACGAUCCAUAGCUGGUUUGAGAGGAUGAUCAGCCACACUGGGACUGAGACACGGCCCAGACUCCUACGGGAGGCAGCAGUGGGGAAUCAUAGACAAUGGGGGAAACCCUGAUCUUGCCAUGCCGCGUGAGCGAUGAAGGCCCUAGGGUUGUAAAGCUCUUUCGCCAGGGAAGAUAAUGACGGUACCUGGUAAAGAAACCCCGGCUAACUCCGUGCCAGCAGCCGCGGUAAUACGGAGGGGGUUAGCGUUGUUCGGAAUUACUGGGCGUAAAGCGCACGUAGGCGGACUGGAAAGUUGGGGGUGAAAUCCCAGGGCUCAACCCUGGAACUGCCUUCAAAACUGUCAGUCUGGAGUCCGAGAGAGGUGAGUGGAACUCCGAGUGUAGAGGUGAAAUUCGUAGAUAUUCGGAAGAACAGCAGUGGCGAAGGCGGCUCACUGGCUCGGUACUGACGCUGAGGUGCGAAAGUGUGGGGAGCAAACAGGAUUAGAUACCCUGGUAGUCCACACCGUAGACGAUGAAUGCCAGACGUCGGGCAGCAUGCUGUUCGGUGUCACACCUAACGGGAUUAAGCUUUCCGCCUGGGGAGUACGAGGCGCAAGGUUCAAACUCAAAGGAAUUGAC